GGGGAGAUGGCUCAGUGGUUAAGAGCACUGACUUCUCUUUCAGAGGACCUGGGUUCAAUUCCCAGCAACCACA
rnacentral:tRNA from 2 species